rnacentral:rRNA from 1 species
UACGAAGGGGGCUAGCGUUGCUCGGAAUCACUGGGCGUAAAGCGCACGUAGGCGGAUUGUUAAGUCAGGGGUGAAAUCCUGGAGCUCAACUCCAGAACUGCCUUUGAUACUGGCGAUCUUGAGUCCGGGAGAGGUGAGUGGAACUGCGAGUGUAGAGGUGAAAUUCGUAGAUAUCGAGAGGAACACCGGUGGCGAAGGCGGCGAUCUGGACGAUGACUGACGCUGAGACGCGAAAGCGUGGGGAGCAAACAGG